CUCAAGUAAGAGCUCCGUAAAUGCCAGCGAUUGACUGAGCAACAAAAGUCCCGGCCACAGUGGUUUCUUUCUGUGCCCGUGGCUUACACAUCACACAAACACCAAGGUGUCCCCAGGCAUGCUACCUGCCAGGAACCCACAACAGGGUCCUACAAGACAGUGAACUAAUAUCCAGAUGCAUACAAGUCAGAGCUCCAAGUCCCAGGCUGGAGUGGAAGGACCGCACCAUUCAUGCUACAGUACCAUGUUAAGCCGCUUCGAGGUGACCCUACAGAGUACUGCUGUCAUCUCCACGGCUCUCAGAGGAGAAAUCAGGGCUCAGAGAAACUAAGUAACCUCAACAAAGGGGUAAUUGAACUGGG
rnacentral:lncRNA from 1 species